AGUCUACCUGCCCACUGAAUUUAUUUAAAUGGCCGCAGUAUCCUAACUGUGCAAAGGUAGCAUAAUCAUUAGUCUUUUAAUUGAAGGCUGGUAUGAAUGGUUGGACGAGAUAUUAACUGUUUCAUAAAAAUUUAUAAUAGAAUUUUAUUUUUUAGUCAAAAAGCUAAAAUAAAAUUAAAAGACGAGAAGACCCUAUAAAUCUUUAUAUAUAAAUUAUUAGAAUUUUGUAGAUUUUUUUUAUUAUAAUAGUUGAUUAUAUUUUAUUGGGGUGAUAUUAAAAUUUAAUAAACUUUUAAUUGUUUAAAUCAUUAAUUUAUGAAUAAUUGAUCCGUUAAUAACGAUUAAAAAAAUAAGUUACUUUAGGGAUAACAGCGUAAUUUUUUUGGAGAGUUCAUAUCGAUAAAAAAGAUUGCGACCUCGAUGUUGGAUUAAGAUAUAAUUUUAGGUGUAGCCGCUUAAAUUUUAAGUCUGUUCGACUUUUAAAUUCUUACAU
rnacentral:rRNA from 1 species